rnacentral:misc_RNA from 1 species
GACCGAUUCAUCAUCCCAUGGAACCUCUGAUGAAAUCAAGGAUGAGGAUACUGAAGCUGGUUCCAUUCCUUGUUGUCGUAUUUGCUUAGAGAGCGAUGCCGAACCAGAAGAUGAACUGAUUUCUCCAUGCAUGUGCAAAGGCACACAGCAGUUUGUCCAUCGAUCUUGUCUUGAUCAUUGGCGCUCCGUUAAGGAAGGGUUUGCUUUCUCGCAUUGCACAACAUGCAAAGCCCAAUUUCACCUGAAAGUU